GGGACGCUUUGCCACUACGUUGUACUGAAUUUCAUGUGGGCUGCUGUUUUGCGUAGCACCAUGGGAUUCAGCUCAUCGUUUGGUUAUCUGCUAACU